CCUACGGGAGGCAGCAGUGGGGAAUUUUGGACAAUGGGCGCAAGCCUGAUCCAGCAAUGCCGCGUGAGUGAAGAAGGCCUUCGGGUUGUAAAGCUCUUUUGUCAGGGAAGAAACGGUGAGUUCUAAUACAGCUUGCUAAUGACGGUACCUGAAGAAUAAGCACCGGCUAACUACGUGCCAGCAGCCGCGGUAAUACGUAGGGUGCAAGCGUUAAUCGGAAUUACUGGGCGUAAAGCGUGCGCAGGCGGUUUUGUAAGUUUGUCGUGAAAUCCCCGGGCUCAACCUGGGAAUGGCGAUGAGGACUGCAAGGCUAGAGUUUGGCAGAGGGGGGUAGAAUUCCACGUGUAGCAGUGAAAUGCGUAGAUAUGUGGAGGAACACCGAUGGCGAAGGCAGCCCCCUGGGUCAAAACUGACGCUCAUGCACGAAAGCGUGGGGAGCAAACAGGAUUAGAUACCCUGGUAGUCCACGCCCUAAACGAUGUCUACUAGUUGUCGGGUCUUAAUUGACUUGGUAACGCAGCUAACGCGUGAAGUAGACCGCCUGGGGGAGGUACGGUCGCGAGAAUAAACUAACAAAGAAGUAGACGGCGUGAGACGUGACCGACGGACGACCGACCGAGGGAGGUUAGG
rnacentral:rRNA from 1 species